GGUGGCAGAGGCCCCAGGGACUUUCCAACCCUCCCUCUCCUCCCAGCGCUACCAGGCAGAAAUCAACGACCUGGAGAACUUGGGCGAGAUGGGCAGCGGCACCUGCGGCCAGGUGUGGAAGAUGCGCUUCCGGAAGACCGGCCACGUCAUUGCUGUUAAGGUGAGCCUUGGUGGCUACCCCGGCUGCGCCCCACACCCCAGGCCGGUGCUAAGGCUCCCUCCUGUCCCUGUCUGUGCAGCAAAUGCGGCGCUCGGGGAACAAGGAGGAGAACAAGCGCAUCCUCAUGGACCUGGACGUGGUGCUCAAGAGCCACGACUGCCCCUACAUCGUGCAGUGCUUUGGGACGUUCAUCACCAACACGGAUGUCUUCAUCGCCAUGGAGCUCAUGGGUACCUGCG
rnacentral:sRNA from 1 species